rnacentral:sRNA from 1 species
GGGGCUGCAAGGGGUGCCCCAAGUAGGAGUAAUCCUACUUGGGCGCCUCCUCCAAGUCGGCCUCCCCCCUUCCAUAUACAUCAUAGAGGGAAGGAAAGAUAGGGGGAAGGGAAGGAAAGGGGGAGGAUGAAUCCUCCCCUUUCCUU